CUGAUUGUGAGGUUCAGCCCUUGUGACAACAGUUGCAACAAUUUCAUCCCACCACAAACGACCAAAUGGCCUACAUUCAGUUGAUCUCUAAGAAUACCAUUACAACAAAACCAUCAUAGCAGAGUUGAAAAGUAAAUAAAGAACCUAAACGCACUUUGUAGAUGUCCCACGAACAAACUUCAUUGCAUAAUCAGGGACCAAGGGUUUGCCAGAUGGAAGCAUCACUCUUUCCAUUGAUUGGUCCCAUUCUACCUUGUUAUCUGGACCAACCGACACACCAGGUAGAUCCCUAAAAUUUGCACCCUAGGAAAAGAGACAGGCAAAACAAGAAACCAUGAAAGACUAUGAGAGCAUAUGUAUGCAUGAUAACAUUCCUGUGGCCCUAAGAACAAGCAAAUUAGUGAAACCUUCUUCUUGGGAAUGCGGCACACACGUUCAUAAUCAUCACUGUUCAACUUUAGAGGUCGGUGAUCAUACAACAUGCGAGGACGGGAUGCAUUUUUAGCAGCUGCAGCUGUAUAACCUACUACAUCAUCUCUUUUCAGUCGAAUAUAUCUUUGAAAGCCCAUUCGAGAAGUUGUCCCAUACCUUCUUUCAUCCCGACUCUCAUCAUUCGUGACUGGUGGGAGAUCUGAUAUUGCAUCUCCAAGAAAGAGAGCCUUUUCCAAUUGACAAGGAAGAUUUUUGUCAUAGGCAACAGCAAUUUCCUCAAAUUCAUUUGGGAUGCCCCCUCUUGCAACAACUUCAUGUGUUGGCAAUGGAUAUUGGGGCAAGCUCUCCAAUGGAUGAGAACCCCACAAGAAGACUCGCAUUCGAAAUUGCGGCAGACCAUAUGAUCCAGCAGCCAUUAUUCCUAGUCGGGCUUGAUAGUUCAUAGAAAUUAGACGACCAAGGGCAUAACGCCCCAAGAAGCCACUAGCAAACCUCAAAAUAUCCACAACAUUUUCCAUGAGAACAUACUUUGGCUUUAAAUACUCAACAAUGUCCAUGAAAACCACCAAUUGAUGGUUCUUGGGAUCAUCCAAGGGAGCUUUCGUGUUUCUAAAUCGAUUAAAGCCACUAAUUCCCUGACAUGGGGGGCCUCCACAUAUUAAAUCAGCAUUGCCAGGAAGAGGCAAGAUAUUUGACCGAUAACCUUUUGUCACAAACUCCUGAAGUUUGUCCUUGCAUUUACUUAAGCCCUCAAUAGGCUCCCAAGUGUCCUCACUUGGACCAUAACCCUUCCAACGUACCUUAAAAAAUAGCCCACGUGUCUUGGUUUUGUUAGGAUCACCAUAACAAAUAGCUAGUAGCUUUUCCACUUCAAAUUCUUCAGAGAGAAUUUCAGACCCUUCAUCAGUACCAUAAUUAUCCUGGUCUUCUUCGUCUUCAUCUUCUUCAUUAUCACUUACAGAAUUAGAACUUUGUUCUGGGUGUCUUUCUGAUGCAAAUAAUGAGAAAUUCCUGCAUAACUUUUCCCAUUCCUUCAAUAGAGAUAAAAAAUCUUCUGCUGCCUCAUUUCUCACCUCAGUUUCAGGGUGGUUUAUUUUCAAACUCUUGCAUGCAUUAGGGUUGAUGUCAACAGCCCACUUAGUCACUAAUUUCACACUAGACAAAGAAGCACCCAUACAAAGGCCAGUUGACAUGGCACCACAACCAGAGUACAGGUCCAACAAAUGCAUCUCUGACUUCUCACACCUAUGAGCUUUUGAAGGUUUUCCAAUGGCAUCAUUAACAUCAUCAAUACUAUUGUUUGAAUCACUCUCACUUGAUAUAGUUGAUGAUGAACCACUAUCUCUUAUAGAAUUAUCUGACUUUAUUGUUUGAAAAGUCAAAAAAGGUAAUGUAUAUUUCAUAUCAUAAUACAGGUCACAAGGUGGAAUUUUUCUCUCCUUUGCUGCUAAAUCCAUAUUUGGUGCAACUAGGGCAAUUUUUAUUUUGGAGACAAUGCAAUUCAACGGAUUGUCAUCUUUAAUUUCUGAAAGAAACACGCGUCUGCUCUCUGUAGAUUGUGCAUGGUCCUUAAUAACAGUGUCUUCAGUUCUAUAAAACCAUUGAGCAGUAAAGUACGGUUCUCCUUCAAUGGUUUCAAACAACUCCACAAUUCUAGCAAUGUAAUCGGGACUUCCAUCGUCAGCUUUGACAUAGGCAUCGUCUCCAAGUUUAUAUAAAACAUUAUCAACCAUUGCUUGUGUAUAGUGACAUUUCGCUUGCAAUACAUCUUCCUCUUCUCCCGAUGCCCCAUUAGCACUCUCUGGGACGGCCCCUUUCUUCACUUUAUUCUGGGAUUUGUAGCGGAGGGGCCAUUUCUUGCGGGCUUCGGCAGCCGGAAUGGGGUUUCCGACGAGGGACAACUCAGAAUCAAGCUUGGCUUUUUUCGUUUUUUUAGCUCUCGAGGACAACAGAGUAAUCGGGUCCUCUUCCUGAGAGGGAAACGGGUCGUCUUCGGUCUCUUGGAUCUCCCGUUUUCGGGGUUUGCCCAUCUUCAGUGUGGUCAAGCAAGAAGAGAGAGUAGAGGGGAAGAAGAAGAGUCGAGAGAUACUGACGUUUAU
rnacentral:misc_RNA from 1 species